rnacentral:rRNA from 1 species
UACGUAGGGUGCAAGGCGUUAAUCGGAAUUACUGGGCGUAAAGCGUGCGCAGGCGGUGAUGUAAGACAGGUGUGAAAUCCCCGGGCUUAACCUGGGAACUGCAUUUGUGACUGCAUCGCUGGAGUGCGGCAGAGGGGGAUGGAAUUCCGCGUGUAGCAGUGAAAUGCGUAGAUAUGCGGAGGAACACCGAUGGCGAAGGCAAUCCCCUGGGCCUGCACUGACGCUCAUGCACGAAAGCGUGGGGAGCAAACAGG